GAUGAAGAACGUAGCGAAAUGCGAUAAGUAAUGUGAAUUGCAGAAUUUAGUGAAUCAUCGAAUCUUUGAACGCACAUUGCGCCCGCCAGUAUUCUGGCGGGCAUGCCUGUUCGAGCGUCAUUUCAACCAUCAAGCCCCCGGCUUGUGUUGGGGACCUGCGGCUGCCGCAGGCCCUGAAAAGCAGUGGCGGGCUCGCUGUCACACCGAGCGUAGUAGAUUUCAUCUCGCUCAGGGCGUGCUGCGGGUUCCGGCCGUUAAACCACCUUCAUAACCCAAGGUUGACCUCGGAUCAGGUAGGAAGACCCGCUGAACUUAAGCAUAUCAAUAAGCGGAGGA
rnacentral:misc_RNA from 1 species